AAACCAUGUUGUACACCAUAAAUAUAUAAAAUUUUUAUUUGUCAAUUCAAAAACAGUUGGAAGAAACAAACGAGAAAAACAGAAGCACACAGCAUGGUGAUUUGCUUUUUACUAUGGUCUUUUUCAUGUUCUUCUAUGCACCUGUAACGCCCCCUUCAGGCAUUCGUGUUCCACUUUCUAGGCUGGGCUCAGGGAGCCAUCUCUGCCUUUUUCUAGUGCCUUGUGCCUGUGUAUGUACCUCUCUCAUUGUCCUCACUAUGCUAUUAAAAUCGAUCUCUUUAUAUGUCUGUUUCUAUCAGUGAAUUACACACUUCUUGAGAGUGGUGACAGAUAUUAUCUUUCAACCCUAGCCGUAAUGAUGCAAUUGAAAAGUGGAUGAGUUGAUUUGCUGAAGGUUGAAUUCUUGGCAGGAGGCAUGAUGAAGAAAAUCUUCACUUCUCUGGAGACAGGAAGUCUGAAUUCUACUCUGUGGCUGCCACUUACAAGUUCAUAGGAACUGAAAACAAGGACACCAUGUGAACUUGUGUGACCACUUUCAAUGCUGAGCCGUGGCAGAUGCUUUUGCUUCCUGAUAUCUCCUUCCAAAUAAACCACCUGCCUCCAAGUCUAAGUCCUUGUCUUAGGCUCUGCUAUUGGGAAGACUCUAACCAAGACACCAGCCUAAGCAGCAGGGUUCUUAAGUGGUACUCUAAUAAGGCCAGUACUUUUCUGUUUUGUUUCCACAUAACAUGCAAUAUGAUUUUCCUCCCAGCCUGUGCAUGCAUUUUCUCAUUGAUGGUUAGGUCCAGCCAAGGACAACUUGACUGACUUUUUUUUUUUUUUGUCAUUGUCUUAGAAUAUCUUCCCUCUAUUUACUAGGCAAGAUUUAUGUAAUUUUUGUAUUUGUCUCAUUUGUUGACAGGGAACCCUGAGCAGAACACAUGCACAAACUCAUGCCAUACCCUAAGGGACAAUAUUCCCCACAUCUACUUGGAAAUCUUUGGGAUGCUCAAUGG